rnacentral:rRNA from 1 species
CCAGCAGCCGCGGUAAUACGGAGGGUGCAAACGUUUAUCGGGAAUUACUGGGCGUAAAGCGCACGCAGGCGGUCUGUCAAGUCGGAUGUGAAAUCCCCGGGCCCAUUCUGGGAACUGCAUUCGAAACUGGCAGGCUAGAGUCUUGUAUAGGGGGGUAGAAUUCCAGGUGUAGCGGUGAAAUGCGUAGAGAUCUGGAGGAAUACCGGUGGCGAAGGCGGCCCCCUGGACAAAGACUGACGCUCAGGUGCGAAAGCGUGGGGAGCAAACAGGAUUAGAUACCCUGGUA